AUGGUUAGGCUACUGUUCUCUCUACUGCUCCUUGCAUGCUCUUCUUUACUCAGAUAUUUGCUUGGGAGAUCCUAGUGGGUUCUUUUUGCUUCUUCACUAGUAGUGCUGGAGAAACGGAUGAGUCCAGAUUCUCCUGCGAACGCAUUUCCUUCAGAGCAGCAGCAUAGGAGAAGGCGGGACGUCCAGUGUGCAGAGCGGAGCGAAUGCAACAACACAUGAGUCUGCGAGCCCAACCUGCAAAGAGACAACAGCCUCCCAGGAGUCCCUGGGAAGCAGAAGACGCUCAAAGCUUAGCCCUUUGCAGGAGAAGUCCCUUUGUGUUCCCAGAAGAGCAAGUGCUAUGUGGCCAAAACCAAGCCAUCUGUCAUGGCUGAGGGAGCUGAGCAGCUUACCCUGAAGAUGAUCGGUCUGGUAUUGUGUAAGGGAACAGAGCCAGUGCAGCAGGCAGAGCUCAUUCUGAGCAGCCAACAUGAGAUUCUUCAUAGAGUUAAUGGAGUGGGCUUGGCAUUGGCAAAGGUGGAAGGCUCCAAGGUGCUUCCUCACCACAGAAGAACAGAACAUCUCACACAGCCUGUUACAAGUGAAACUGGGAGUCAAAGUCGGGGCAAGGGGGUGCUUAAAGCCAAAGGUUAUCCACGCUUCCAAAAUAUACAGCAGGAUCGUUUUAUAAAAAAACAAGGCUUUCCUAUACACUUCGGGCUCAAUAUUGGACGUGUUCUAGCGCUGGAGUGAAUAGACAUCGAAGCUGGCUCUGUGCAAGGCUUGGAGUUGGCCGCCCUUCCUAGUGUUAGCACAUUACUUACACUGGCAGGCCAAUGCAUCCAGAGAAGUUCAUCAUUGUGCCAGCUUUCAUUUGCAGCAUCUACAAAUAUUUCGAGUGCUAUUUUUUCAGACUGCAUUUGCUUGUUUGUUUUUUUACCUUGGUUCCAUUCCAAGACCCUUGAGUAUAUGAGGUUGCAAAUAAAGUGGCAUUCUUUGUUGCCUUAAUUUUGCCAGUUGGAAAGCUUUAAAAGUUAAUAUUUAUGUGAAAUGAUCUAAUAUUCAUCUUGCUUGACGCAUGUUUAUUUAACAUAUUUAAAGUUAGCUGAGCGCUGUGUUUAUUUUUUAAGAUACCUACACGCUAAGGUACUGUAGUGCUGCAUGCAGUUUUAACAAAACAUAUCUUUCUAUAAACCCUUUUGAUUGCAGCUCCGCAACAGAUGAGAAAUCUCUUUUUGGAUAUUUAUUUUUAUUUGUUUUAUAAUUGUAUAUUAUAUUUUAUGUUUCAGACCUACAUAAUCUGCAAAAUUGGAAUUAGACUUUGGUUCUUGAAAAUAAUAAUAAUAAUUAAUAAUAACCAUCCUGUAGUAACUGUUAAUACUUUUUGAAGUGGUAAUUAAGGAAAUAUUCAGCUGGAGAGUUGUAAAUAAAAUAUGGCUAGUCCUUUAAAAGAGAAGUGAGACAAU